UCUGGCACUGGGAAGGCGGCGUUUCGGCUCCUGGGACAGGGGCUCCGCGGCAGGUCACCGGGUCUGGCUGGGCGGCCUGCAAUGCCGCACUGCAAAUUUGCAACGCCCUCUGCCGUCACCCUUUGAAAUAAGAACGACCCUCCGAGGAUGGUGCUUGCAUGCUUGAAGCCGGGUUGCUAAUACGCCAAAAUGACAUUGGAGGGCAGCGCAUCUCAACCUAAGCGGAGACCUUUGGCGUGGCAAGCGGUGGCUGCAGCGGUGGCAACCAUCCGCAUGGCCCUGGGGAUCAGGAGAGCAGAGCGGUUCCCAUGCACACGGGUGGGGCGAGAGAAAAUACUCGUUGGAUUGUCACUGCCACCUUCACAAUGACCUUCAGUGUGGCCCACAUAGCAAAAUGAAAUACGGAAACGACAUUGCCAGAAGAAAACUCAUCCUGGCUUAGGAGAGUUGGCUCAAGUUUGUUGGAUCCUAAACCAACAUGCUAAUAUAUAAUGCCAUGGUUUUGCUUAACCCGGUUUGCCUUCAGAUCUGCUUCAUGAUUUCUAAAAUACUGUAAUAACUCUAAAAUAA